UACAGAGGUCUCAAGCGUUGUUCGGAUUCAUUGGGCGUAAAGGGUGCGUAGGCGGCGCGGUAAGUCGGGUGUGAAAUUUCGAGGCUUAACUUCGAAACUGCAUUCGAUACUGCCGUGCUUGAGGACUGGAGAGGAGACUGGAAUUUACGGUGUAGCGGUGAAAUGCGUAGAUAUCGAGAGGAACACCUGCGGCGAAGGCGGGUUGCUGGGCUGACACUGACGCUGAGGCGCGAAAGCCAGGGGAGCGAACGGG
rnacentral:rRNA from 1 species